rnacentral:rRNA from 1 species
GAGGGCUUAACUGUCUCCUGUAGCCAAUCAAUGAAAUUGAUCUCACAGUACAAACGCUGUGAUACAACUAUAAGACGAAAAGACCCUGUGGAGCUUUAAAUUUCUACAUUACUAGAAUAAUACUAACAUAAUGUAAAUUUUAAGUUGGGGCGACUAUGGAACAAAACAAAACCUCCACGCAAAACGACUAACCCCCGUCAUCAAUAGGCCAACAAGCCAAACUAAAAACACAUGACCCAGUAAAACUGAUCACCGAACCAAGUUACCCCAGGGAUAACAGCGCCAUCCCCUUAAAGAGUCCCCAUCGG